CAGUCGCCGCGGUAAUACGAAGGGUGCAAGCGUUAAUCGGAAUUACUGGGCGUAAAGCGCGCGUAGGUGGUUUGGUAAGAUGGAUGUGAAAUCCCCGGGCUCAACCUGGGAACUGCAUCCAUAACUGCCUGACUAGAGUACGGUAGAGGGUGGUGGAAUUUCCUGUGUAGCGGUGAAAUGCGUAGAUAUAGGAAGGAACACCAGUGGCGAAGGCGACCACCUGGACUGAUACUGACACUGAGGUGCGAAAGCGUGGGGAGCAAACAGGAUUAGAUACCCCUGUAGUCCCUGUCUCUUAUAU
rnacentral:rRNA from 1 species